GAUCCAUCGUCGGCCUCGCGGCA
rnacentral:miRNA from 1 species